rnacentral:rRNA from 1 species
UACAGAGGGUGCGAGCGUUGUCCGGAAUCACUGGGCGUAAAGGGCACGUAGGCGGCUUGAUAAGCGUGCGGUGAAAGCCCGGGGCUCAACCCCGGGUCGGCCGUGCGGACUGCCGGGCUGGAGCACUGUAGAGGCAGGUGGAAUUCCGGGUGUAGCGGUGGAAUGCGUAGAGAUCCGGAAGAACACCGGUGGCGAAGGCGGCCUGCUGGGCAGUAGCUGACGCUGAAGCGCGACAGCGUGGGGAGCAAACAGG